AGCUGAUGCAGAUUGAUGGCUUCUCCUCCCAGUGCCAUCGCGUCGGCUGUUCCCCUCUGGAGGUUUGGAUACCUUCACACUUCAACGGGCCUCGGUUUUUCCGGUGGCCCGAUUUU
rnacentral:sRNA from 1 species